ACUCGUUUGGUGGAAUAGGUAGACACGACAGACUCAAAAUCUGUUCCGGUAAAGGUUAUCGGUUCGAGUCCGAUAACGAGUA
rnacentral:tRNA from 1 species